CCCUUAGAUGUUCUGGGCCGCACGCGCGCUACACUGACGAAUGCAACGAGCUUAUAACCUUGGCCGAAAGGUCUGGGUAAUCUCCAAAUUUCGUCGUGAUGGGGAUAGAUUAUUGCAAUUAUUAAUCUUCAACGAGGAAUGCCUAGUAAGCGCAGGUCAUCAGCUUGCGUUGAUUACGUCCCUGCCCUUUGUACACACCGCCCGUCGCUCCUACCGAUUGAAUGGUCCGGUGAAGCGUUCGGACCGUGGCCUUUGGACGGUUCGCCGUCUGUUGGCUGCGGGAAGUUCGUUAAACCUUAUCAUUUAGAGGAAGGAGAAGUCGUAACA
rnacentral:rRNA from 1 species